UUUUCUUUGAAAAAUAAAGUAUACAUUUUCAAUCAAAAAUCUGUUCUUAUCAGUUUAAUAUCUGAUACGUCCCCUAUCUGGGGACCAUAUAUUAAAUGGAUUUUUAGAACAGGGAGAUGGAAGAAGAGCUUUCUCUGUCCACUCCACGCAUCGACCUGGUAUUGCAGUACCUCCAGGACUGGUGCACCCCUC